rnacentral:rRNA from 1 species
CCUACGGGAGGCAGCAGUAAGGAAUAUUGGACAAUGCUCGCAAGAGUGAUCCAGCCAUGCCGCGUGCAGGAAGAAUGCCCUAUGGGUAGUAAACUGCUUUUGAACUAGAGAAAACCCCAGUACGUGUACUGGGCUGAUAGUAUAGUUAGAAUAAGCAUCGGCUAACUUCGUGCCAGCAGCCGCGGUAAGACGAAGGAUGCAAGCGUUAUCCGGAUUCAUUGGGUUUAAAGGGAGCGUAGGUGGACUGAUAAGUCAGUGGUGAAAUCUCCGAGCUUAACUCGGAAAUUGCCAUUGAUACUGUUGGUCUUGAGUACAGUUGCUGUGGGCGGAAUAUGACAUGUAGUGGUGAAAUACAUAGAGAUGUCAUAGAACACCGAUUGCGAAGGCAGCUCACAAAGCUGUAACUGACACUGAGGCUCGAAAGUGCGGGGAUCAAACAGGAUUAGAUACCCUGGUAGUCCGCACCGUAAACGAUGAUUACUCGCUGCUAGGGGGCAACCUUUAGUGGCUUAGCGAAAGCGAUAAGUAAUCCACCUGGGGAGUACGCCGGCAACGGUGAAACGUUAAAGAGUAGUUAGGCGNGNGAGAGCGACGACGACGACGAGGAGGGAGGAGG